CUCUGAUGUCAAUGACCUAAGGCAAAACCAAGAGUCAGUUGUUCAACCAACUGAGGCACCCAGGCACUCUGUAUUCUGUUCUUUAACAAAGCAAAGAGUUUUUUACAAAAUCUUUCUUUAUUAUCUGAUUCAGAAUAUUGAUUAGAUAUGGUAAGGAAUGUGUCUUUUUUUUACUGCUGCUUUGAAAUUAAGUGAUAUUUCAAACUGCACAAUUUUUUUCAGUUAUGAUAACUAUUUUCUAUUAUUUUGAUAACCAUUGUCUCUCUUCCCUGUUUAAGUUUUCUACUUUAAUAAUGGAAACUCUUAUUAUUGACAUUUUAGGGCUCCUGAGUAUCUGCCCUCCACAUACCUUUUCUUUUCCUCAUGCUUUCAAUCAUUUUUUUCCCUACAUUUUCUUCUACUUGAUCUUCUAGGUUAUCCAUUUAUGGUUCGUAUGAGUUAUCUACGUCAGUGUAAUGCUGCAUAACAAAUAAAAUCAAUCACAAAACUUCAGUGGCAUAUAAUACACAGACACACGCACACAUUUAUUCAGCUCAUAAGUCUGCAGUUCAGUAAUUUAGGCUAGGCUCAGUUGGGUAGUUCCUCUGGUCUCACUUCUGUAUGUCUAAUGUUCAUUUCUGAGGUGGCUGACCUAGGAUGGCUAGAAUGAUUGGUGACUUACUCUGCUCUACAUGCUACAUUUUCCAAAAGGGCAUGUGCUCACUGUAAAGGCAGAAGAGCCAAAACACAAUUGCAAUCACCUCAGCUGCUUGAGAUCUUGAUGCACAGCUGGCACAUCAUCACUCUCACUUCAUUCUACUGGCCACCCAGAAGCUCAGCCUGGAUUUCAAUGAUUCCCGUGUGGCAUGUCAUAACUAUUCAGAUCUGGCACAGCUGGAAGCCAGCUUCCCCUUCUGGAUAUAGCCUGCCUCCAGAAGUUACCUGGAUAUAUGAGAUUUUAUUUAUUCGUGAGAGACACAGAGACAGAGAGAGAGAGGCAGAGACACAGGCAGAGGGAGAAGCAGGCUCCAUGCAGGGAGCCCAACGUGGGACUUGAUCCCGGGUCCCCAGGAUCAGGCCCUGGGCUGAAGGUGGCACUAAACCGCUGAACCAUCCUGGCUGUCCCUCAGUACUAAAAUUUAAGUAGUUUCCAUAUUUAUUUUUGUAACAGUUUGGUUUCUUGGAUAUUAAGGGUAAUGUUGGAAAUAGCAUUUUCCAAAAAUAUUUCAUUGUUUUCAGUGUAAUUUAGAAACUUAUUGACUUUAUGUUUUA